UACGUAGGUGGCAAGCGUUGUCCGGAUUUAUUGGGCGUAAAGAGCGUGUAGGCGGCCAGAUAGGUCUGCUGUGAAAACUCGAGGCUCAACCUCGAGAUGUCGGCGGAAACCAUUUGGCUAGAGUCCGGAAGAGGAAAGUGGAAUUCCUGGUGUAGCGGUGAAAUGCGCAGAUAUCAGGAGGAACACCGGUGGCGAAGGCGGCUUGCUGGGCCAGUUCUGACGCUGAGGAGCGAAAGCGUGGGGAGCGAACAGG
rnacentral:rRNA from 1 species